AGGGGAUGGCGAUGAUGAGGAGAAAGAAUCAGAAUCCUGCAAAGAAGAGGUGGAUGGCUCGCAAGAGAGGGCCCGCCUCUGAGUCACUGCCAGACCAACUGGUGGUAACUGGAGACAGACCUCCUCAGAUGACCUUAACGUGUGGUGGGGAUCACGCAGAAGGCGGCGCUCUCUAAGUUAACUCAGACCUAAGCCGGCCAGGGCUUUAAAGAACUUGUCUGCUGAGGGAAUCUAGCAUUGUUCCCUCACACUUAGCAAAUUUUGACAAGUGGCAGAGAAGAUAACAGAGAAGAACAAGAAGGAGCCUAACCCUGUAGGUAUGGUUCUGCCAAGAUAGGUCAAAACCAAUCACCACAUCAAGAUGCUACUUCCAGAAAAGCUCAGACAGAAUACAUGUUGUCUUUAUUAUUAAAUUUGAAGAGCUCGGCUUCAACCCAAAAGCUAACAUGCUUCGUUUGGCACUAUAAAGCUACAAAUUCUAUAAUAUAAAUAUUUUGUAUUAUAAUUUUGUAAACAGAAUAAUAAAAUACACUUCUUUCCUUC